CUAAGCAUAUCAAUAAGCGGAGGAAAAGAAACCAACAGGGAUUGCCCUACGUAACGGCGAGUGAAGCGGCAACAGCUCAAAUUUGAAAUCUGGCCCCCGGGUCCGAGUUGUAAUUUGUAGAGGAUGCUUUUGGUGCGGUACCUUCCGAGUGCCCUGGAACGGGACGCCAUAGAGGGUGAGAGCCCCGUCUGGUUGGACGCCAAUCCUUUGUAAAGCUCCUUCAACGAGUCGAGUAGUUUGGGAAUGCUGCUCUAAAUGGGAGGUAUAUGUCUUCUAAAGCUAAAUAUUGGCCAGAGACCGAUAGCGCACAAGUAGAGUGAUCGAAAGAUGAAAAGCACUUUGAAAAGAGAGUUAAAAAGUACGUGAAAUUGUUGAAAGGGAAGCGCUCAUGACCAGACUUGGGCUUGGUUGAUCAUCCAGGGUUCUCCCUGGUGCACUCUUCCGGCCCAGGCCAGCAUCAGUUCGCUGUGGGGGAUAAAGGCUUCGGGAAUGUGGCUCCCUCGGGAGUGUUAUAGCCCGUCGUGUAAUACCCUGUGGCGGACUGAGGUUCGCGCAUUCGCAAGGAUGCUGGCGUAAUGGUCAUCAGCGACCCGUCUUGAAACACGGACCAAGGAGUCGUCUUCGUAUGCGAGUGUUCGGGUGUCAAACCCCUACGCGUAAUGAAAGUGAACGCAGGUGAGAGCUUCGGCGCAUCAUCGACCGAUCCUGAUGUUCUCGGAUGGAUUUGAGUAAGAGCAUACGGGGCCGGACCCGAAAGAAGGUGAACUAUGCCUGUAUAGGGUGAAGCCAGAGGAAACUCUGGUGGAGGCUCGCAGCGGUUCUGACGUGCAAAUCGAUCGUCAAAUAUGGGCAUGGGGGCGAAAGACUAAUCGAACCUUCUAGUAGCUGGGUUUCCGCCGAAGUUCCC
rnacentral:rRNA from 1 species